rnacentral:lncRNA from 1 species
AAUUAAGACAGGAAAACAUAUUCAGAAAUUAAAAUCCCUUGAAAAACAGAUGGGAAUUUAAAUGCUCAAGAAUGGUACACAAUUCAUCUGAAGCAGCAUGACCACAAAUCAUUUUCUUCCAUCACUGAAAAAGGCAAUACAUAUACGACCCUUUGAAAGGAAUUGAAUUGGGAGUGGGAUAAAACAGAAUAGUAUAAAAAGACAAAAGCAUCAUAAGUGCUGCAGAAAACAAAUGAAUGCAAGCAUAAGACGACAUAAUCAAACAUUUUAUGGAAUAUAAACCCGUCUAUUGGUAUGAAGACUGUCAAUCUAAUUAAAAACCGAUCUCUCAUCGCUCCCGUUUUCUGAUAUGUCGCGUGGGAGAUCUAACGAAACCGGCUUUGAGGUCACAUGUGAGUGAACUAAA